CGGCAAUAGCCUAAAACUCAAAGGACUUGGCGGUGCUUUAUAUCCCUCUAGAGGAGCCUGUUCUAURAUCGAUAAACCCCGAUAAACCUCACCAAUCCUUGCUAAUACAGUCUAUAUACCGCCAUCUUCAGCAAACCCUAAAAAGGAACAAAAGUAAGCACAACAAUAAUACAUUAAAACGUUAGGUCAAGGUGUAACCUAUGGGUUGGGAAGAAAUGGGCUACAUUUUCUAUUUAAAGAA
rnacentral:rRNA from 1 species